rnacentral:rRNA from 1 species
UACGUAGGUGGCGAGCGUUGUUCGGAUUUAUUGGGCGUAAAGGGUCUGUAGGAGGUUUGUUAAAUACGGGGUGAAAUCCCGAAGCUCAACUUCGGAAUUGCCUUGUAGACUGACGAACUGGAGUACCGGAGAGGUAAGCGGAAUACCAGGUGUAGCGGUGAAAUGCGUAGAUAUCUGGUAGAACACCAAAAGCGAAGGCAGCUUGCUGGACGGAAACUGACUCUGAAAGACGAAAGCAUGGGGAGCAAACAGG